rnacentral:rRNA from 1 species
UACGGGGGGAGCAAGCGUUGUUCGGAUUUACUGGGCGUAAAGGGCGUGUAGGCGGCCUCUGCAAGUCGACUGUGAAAUCUCCGGGCUUAACCCGGAAAGGUCAGCCGAUACUGCAGGGCUAGAGUGCAGAAGGGGCAACUGGAAUUCUCGGUGUAGCGGUGAAAUGCGUAGAUAUCGAGAGGAACACCUGCGGCGAAGGCGGGUUGCUGGGCUGACACUGACGCUGAGGCGCGAAAGCUAGGGGAGCGAACGGG